rnacentral:snRNA from 1 species
UUGCUUUGGCAGCAAAAUUUAGCACACUAAAAUUGGAAUGAUACUGAGAAAAUUAGCAUGGCCCCUGUGCAAGGAUGAUGCACAAAUUCGUGAAGUGUUUUAUAUUUUU